rnacentral:rRNA from 1 species
UUUUAGUUUGACCCCCCGAACCAAGUGAGCUACUCCUAAACAGCUUUUUUAGAGCCAACCCGUCUCUGUUGCAAAAGAGUGGGAUAAUUUAUGAGUAGAGGUGACAGACCUAUCGAACUUAGAGAUAGCUGGUUUUUUAAGAAAAGAAUUUUAGUUCAGCCUCAAGCUUCCCUUUAACCAAAAAAUCACCCAAGGCUUGAGAGUUAUUCAAAUAAGGCACAGCUUAUUUGAAACAGGACACAACCUAGAAUACAGGGUAA